CGGGACGUGGCGCAGUUUGGUAGCGUACUUGAAUGGGGUUCAAGGGGUCGCUGGUUCAAAUCCAGUCGUCCCGACCA
rnacentral:tRNA from 1 species